UACGUAGGGGGCAAGCGUUGUCCGGAAUCAUUGGGCGUAAAGAGCGCGUAGGCGGUCCGGUAAGUCCGCUCUGAAAGUCCGGGGCUCAACCCCGGGAGGCGGGCGGAUACUGCCGGGCUAGAGUCCGGAAGAGGCGAGUGGAAUUCCUGGUGUAGCAGUGAAAUGCGUAGAUAUCGAGAGGAACACCAGUGGCGAAGGCGAGUCUCUGGACGACUCCUGACACUGAGGCACGAAAGCUAGGGGAGCAAACAGG
rnacentral:rRNA from 1 species